UAGGGAAUAUUGGACAAUGGGUGAGAGCCUGAUCCAGCCAUGCCGCGUGCAGGAAGAAGGCGUUAUGCGUUGUAAACUGCUUUUUGCCAGGGGAUAAAAAGACCGUGCGCGGUUAAUUGAGGUACCUGGUGAAUAAGCCACGGCUAACUACGUGCCAGCAGCCGCGGUAAUACGUAGGUGGCAAGCGUUGUCCGGAUUUAUUGGGUUUAAAGGGUGCGUAGGUGGCCCUGUAAGUCAGUGGUGAAAUAUCUCAGCUUAACUGAGAGGGUGCCAUUGAUACUGCAGGGCUUGAGUACAGAUGAGGUAGGCGGAAUUGACGGUGUAGCGGUGAAAUGCAUAGAUAUCGUCAAGAACACCGAUAGCGAAGGCAGCUUACCAAGCUGUAACUGACACUGAGGCACGAAAGUGUGGGGAUCAAACAGGAUUAGAUACCCCCGUAGUCCCUGAGCGGGCUGGCAAGGCGCAU
rnacentral:rRNA from 1 species